CUGGCCACCUCUAAGGAGGCAGAACAAUUCUAAUCUUAUAAAAUUUAAACCUUUUUCUUCUUUUUUUUCCCCCCCACUCUCUCUUUUCAUUGAUUCUGUAAAAACUGUAGAAAUCAAUCAUCUGACUCUUUUGACUGAGCUUCCAAUAUUUAGUUAAAAUAAUAGGUUAAUUGAAGGCCUAAUAAUUAAUUUUAUCUCUUUUCUUAGGAAAACUUAAUCCCCUGGGCUUACUAAAACAAAAUAAAAUAAAUUAGUAAUUGUUCUGCUGUAGUGAACUUUUUUUUUUUUUUUUUUUUGCAUCUUCUAACAUACUCCCUCUAGAGUAAAUUCAGGCAGUCUAACAUCACCACUGCAAAUCCUCAUUCUUUUUUACUUUCUCACCCAAACUUACAAAAAAAAUCAGUAUAACAGUAAAUUAUUUCUUUAGCAUCAGUGACUAAUGUUAACAUCAAUUCCAGCAUUUCUCUCCAUCAGAAAUUUUCCAGAUUGUAAUAUAUGCAUCUGGACUGCAGUCUAAUGGAUGCAAAAGUUGAGUCAGGAUGGCUUCCCUGGCAAUAAGAAACCAGGAGAGGAAGAAGAGAGAAACACUUGAUUACUACAAAACCAACCACAGACAUCCUACUGCUUCCAUUUUUGUAUUAAGACAUUUGUCUGAAGAACCUAAGAAAUGUACUUUCAGCGAAGUUCACUCUCUAACUUGGAUUUUAAUUUCCUGUUGAUCAGUAAUCAUGAGAAUGAAUAUGCAAGCUUAAAAGCCUGAGCUAAAACUGUUCACUUCCGUAUCUACCUGUACAAAGAAACCCAGCAGGGACAAGUGAAGUUACAAGAGCCUUUCAGGUAGCAGUUUCUCUGGCCUUUCAGCAGUGUGCAGGAGCAGUUCCAUUAAUGCUGAUUUACAAUAAUGUAAAUAAAAUUCUUGCUGAUUGUAUUUGGACUCCUUAU
rnacentral:lncRNA from 1 species